UAGGGAAUCUUCGGCAAUGGGGGGAACCCUGACCGAGCAACGCCGCGUGAGUGAAGAAGGUUUUCGGAUCGUAAAGCUCUGUUGUUAAGGAAGAACGAGUGUGAGAAUGGAAAGUUCAUACUGUGACGGUACUUAACCAGAAAGGGACGGCUAACUACGUGCCAGCAGCCGCGGUAAUACGUAGGUCCCGAGCGUUGUCCGGAUUUAUUGGGCGUAAAGCGAGCGCAGGCGGUUAGAAAAGUCUGAAGUGAAAGGCAGUGGCUCAACCAUUGUAGGCUUUGGAAGCUGUUUAACUUGAGUGCAGAAGGGGAGAGUGGAAUUCCAUGUGUAGCGGUGAAAUGCGUAGAUAUAUGGAGGAACACCGGUGGCGAAAGCGGCUCUCUGGUCUGUAACUGACGCUGAGGCUCGAAAGCGUGGGGAGCGAACAGGAUUAGAUACCCUGGUAGUCCACGCCGUAACGAUGAGUGCUAGGUGUUAGGUCCUUUCCGGGACUUAGUGCCGCAGCUAACGCAUUAAGCACUCCGCCUGGGGAGUACGACCGCAAGGUUG
rnacentral:rRNA from 1 species